rnacentral:rRNA from 1 species
UACGAAGGGGGCUAGCGUUGUUCGGAAUUACUGGGCGUAAAGCGUGCGCAGGCGGCUUCUCAAGUCAGGGGUGAAAGCCCAGAGCUCAACUCUGGAAUUGCCUUUGAGACUGAGUGGCUUGAGUACGGGAGAGGUGAGUGGAAUUCCCAGUGUAGAGGUGAAAUUCGUAGAUAUUGGGAAGAACACCGGUGGCGAAGGCGGGUCUCUGGGCAGUAACUGACGCUGAGGAGCGAAAGCGUGGGGAGCGAACAGG